rnacentral:rRNA from 1 species
ACUGAACGCUGGCGGCAUGCCUUACACAUGCAAGUCGAACGGCAGCGCGGACUUCGGUCUGGCGGCGAGUGGCGAACGGGUGAGUAAUACAUCGGAACGUACCCUGUUGUGGGGGAUAACUAGUCGAAAGAUUAGCUAAUACCGCAUACGACCUGAGGGUGAAAGUGGGGGAUCGCAAGGCCUCACGCAGCAGGAGCGGCCGAUGUCUGAUUAGCUAGUUGGUGGGGUAAAGGCCCACCAAGGCGACGAUCAGUAGCUGGUCUGAGAGGACGAUCAGCCACACUGGGACUGAGACACGGCCCAGACUCCUACGGGAGGCAGCAGUGGGGAAUUUUGGACAAUGGGGGCAACCCUGAUCCAGCAAUGCCGCGUGUGUGAAGAAGGCCUUCGGGUUGUAAAGCACUUUUGUCCGGAAAGAAAUCGCGCUGGUUAAUACCUGGCGUGGAUGACGGUACCGGAAGAAUAAGCACCGGCUAACUACGUG